UACGAAGGGGGCUAGCGUUGCUCGGAAUUACUGGGCGUAAAGGGAGCGUAGGCGGAUAGUUUAGUCAGAGGUGAAAGCCCAGGGCUCAACCCUUGAAUUGCCUUUGAUACUGGCUAUCUUGAGUAUGGGAGAGGUUAGCGGAACUCCGAGUGUAGAGGUGAAAUUCGUAGAUAUUCGGAAGAACACCAGUGGCGAAGGCGGCUAACUGGCCCAUUACUGACGCUGAGGCUCGAAAGCGUGGGGAGCAAACAGG
rnacentral:rRNA from 1 species